rnacentral:rRNA from 1 species
CCUACGGGGGGCAGCAGUGAGGAAUCUUCCGCAAUGGGCGCAAGCCUGACGGAGCAACGCCGCGUGGAGGACGACGGCCUUCGGGUUGUAAACUCCUUUUCUGUCGAACGAGAACGGACGGUACGGCAGGAAGAAGCCUCGGCUAACUACGUGCCAGCAGCCGCGGUAAUACGUAGGAGGCGAGCGUUGUCCGGAGUUACUGGGCGUAAAGGGUGCGCAGGCGGCCGCUUGCGUGGGGGGUGAAAUCGCCUGGCUCAACUGGGCGGGGGCCUUCCAAACGGGGCGGCUUGAGGAGCGGAGAGGGACGUGGAAUUCCGGGUGGAGCGGUGAAAUGCGUAGAGAUCCGGAGGAACACCGACGGCGUAGGCAGCGUCCUGGCCGCCUCCUGACGCUCAGGCACGAAAGCUGGGGGAGCAAACAGGAUUAGAUACCCCUGUAGUC